CAGUCGCCGCGGGAAUACGUAGGUGGCAAGCGUUGUCCGGAAUUAUUGGGCGUAAAGCGCGCGCAGGCGGAUCGGUUAGUCUGUCUUAAAAGUUCGGGGCUUAACCCCGUGAGGGGAUGGAAACUGCUGAUUUAGAGUAUUGGAGAGGAAAGUGGAAUUCCUAGUGUAGCGGUGAAAUGCGCAGAUAUUAGGAAGAACACCAGUGGCGAAGGCGACUUUUUGGACGAAAACUGACGCUGAGGCGCGAAAGCCAGGGGAGCAAAUGGGAUUAGAUACCCCCGUAGUCCCUGUCUCUUAUACA
rnacentral:rRNA from 1 species